rnacentral:rRNA from 1 species
AUUGAGCGCUGGCGGCAGGCCUAACACAUGCAAGUCGAACGAGUGGCGGACGGGUGAGUAAUGUCUGGGAAACUGCCCGAUGGAGGGGGAUAACUACUGGGAAAGGUAGCUAAUACCGCAUAUCAUCGGAUGUGACCAGAUGGGAUUAGCUAGGAGGUGGGGUAACGGCUCACCUAGGCGACGAUCCCUAGCUGGUCGGAGAGGAUGACCAGCCACACUGGAACUGAGACACGGUCCAGACUCCUACGGGAGGCAGCAGUAGGUACUAUUGCACAAUGAGCGCAAGCCUGAUGCAGCCAUGCCGCGUAUGAAGAAGGCCUUCGGGUUGUAAAGUACUUUCAGCGAGGAGGCGUUACUCGCCGAAGAAGCACCGGCUAACGCCGUGCGAGCGGCCGCGGUAAUUC